ACGAACGCUGGCGGCGUGCCUAACACAUGCAAGUCGAACGGAGUAUAUUUUCUAGCUUGCUAGCAGAUAUACUCAGUGGCGCACGGGUGAGUAACACGUGGGCAACCUGCCCGGAAGUCUGGGAUAACAGUGCGAAAGUACUGCUAAAUACCGGAUACCUUCACGAAGCUGCCUAGCUUUGUGAAGAAAGAUUAAUUGCUUCCGGAUGGGCCCGCGUCCCAUUAGCUAGUUGGUGAGGUAACGGCUCACCAAGGCGACGAUGGGUAGCUG
rnacentral:rRNA from 1 species